rnacentral:rRNA from 1 species
CCCCACUGCUAUCGGGAUAGGACUAAGACAUGCUAGUCGAGUGACUCAGGCAAAACGAGUCACGGCACACAGCUCAGUAACACGUGGCUAAUCUGCCCUUGGGACUAGAACAACCCCGGGAAACUGGGGCUAACUCUAGAUAGGUGAAGAACUCUGGAAUGAGUCUUUGCCUAAAUAGGUUCACGUUAUCCUCGUGAACUUGCCCAAGGAUGAGGCCGCGACCGAUCAGGUUGUUGGCGAGGUAAUGGCUCACCAAGCCUCUUACCGGUGCGGGCCGUGGGAGCGGGAGCCCGGAGAUGGGUACUGAGACAAGGACCCAGGCCCUACGGGGCGCAGCAGUCGCGAAACCUUUGCAAUACACGAAAGUGUGACAGGGCUAUCCCGAGUGCCAUCCGCUGAGGAAGGCUUUUACCCAGUCUAGAACGCUGGGGGAAUAAGGAGAGGGCAAGUCUGGUGUCAGCCGCCGCGGUAAUACCAGCUCUCCGAGUGGUGUGGAUGUUUAUUGGGCCUAAAGCAUCCGUAGCUGGCUAGGUAAGUCCCUUGUUAAAUCCACCGAAUUAAUCGUUGGAUCGCGGGGGAUACUGCUUGGCUAGGGGACGAGAGAGGCAGACGGUAUUCUCGGGGUAGGGGUGAAAUCCUAUAAUCCCGGGAAGACCACCAGUGGCGAAGGCUGUCUGCUAGAACGCGCCCGACGGUGAGGGAUGAAAGCUGGGGGAGCGAACCGGAUUAGAUACCCGGGUAGUCCCAGCUGUAAACGAUGCAGACUAGGUGUUUGAACGGCCACGUGCCGUUCUAGUGCCGCAGGGAAGCUGUUAAGUCUGCCGCCUGGGGAGUACGAUCGCAAGAUUGAAACUUAAAGGAAUUGGCGGGGGAGCACCACAAGGGGUGAAGCUUGCGGUUU